rnacentral:rRNA from 1 species
GACGAACGCUGGCGGCGUGCUUAACACAUGCAAGUCGAACGGAAGGGCCCUGCUUGCAGGGUACUCGAGUGGCGAACGGGUGAGUAACACGUGGGAGAUCUGCUCGGCACUUCGGGAUAAGCUUGGGAAACUGGGUCUAAUACGCGAAAGGCGCCAGCGUGAGAGUGGGGGUUGGAAGGUUUUUUCGGUGUAGGAUGAGCUCGCGGCCGAUCAGCUAGUUGGUGGGGUAAUGGCCUACCAAGGCGGCGACGGGUAGCCGGCCUGAGAGGGUGUACAGCCAGAUCAGGCCUGUGAUACGGCCCACACUGCGAAGGGAUGGAGAAGUGGGGAAUAUUUCACACUGGGCGGAAGCCUGAGGCAGCGAGGCCGCGUGAGUGAUGAAGGCCUUCGGGUUGUAAACUCCUUUCGCUAGGGACGAAGCUUUGUUGUGACGUUACCUAGAUAAGAAGCACCGGCUAACUACGUG